rnacentral:lncRNA from 1 species
CCUUAGAUAACCUCCGGAGGGAUAACUAAUCAGACCCUCAGAAUAACAUCAAGAGUGCAAGAUGCCAUUGGCACAAGCUCAUUGUCGGUGCACAUUGCCUCUCGUGCGAAGAUAAAAAGUACUAGAUAUCAUAGGUACAAGAUCGUCGCAAGCACACAAUGCCACUCAUGAGGGAUAACUAAUUAGAUCCUCAGAAUGCCGCUGAAAGUAUAAAAUAUCGUAGGCACAAGCUCACCGC